UCUCUGCCUCGUCUCAGUUUUUAGUGUUCUUCUUUCUCCCUAACUCUAAUCAGAUUAUUCAAUCUCUUGCUCAUCAUAAUCAUCCACACCUUAUCAUGAUUCACUAGCAAUUCUUAUGAGUUAUUUCUUGAAAACCUCAUAACGAUUUGAAAUAGACGAAUUAUAACCUAAUCUUCAGUUUACAAAAUCAACAACAAAUCCAAUCUAUUUUUUCCUGUAUUUAUUUCCUCGAUUUCGCUUUACUCUUGAAGAAUAAAAACUAGAAAGAUGGGAAAGAAAAGCUUAAACUCAAAUAAUAAGAACUGGAUCCUGUUUUCCUUGUUAUCUUUGUUUUAAACACCCUUAUUUUUUGUGUUUAAAUCUUGUUGGAGAUGGUAACUAAAGUUUUAUUAUUUGUAUCAGGUGAUGGUUAUCCUGUUCGUGGAGCUAGUGGUGAAAAGAACUUCCAGAUUAGAAUAAUGGGGUUCUGCCAUAUUAGCUGAAGCUUGCAGCCACAGUUGUUCUCAUUAUAGGUUUUUGGGUUGGCUGAUUCAUUAAGAAAAAGCUACGAACUGUUGGACUCAUAGAUUUAAACAACUAUAGAUGAACAAUGCAGCUGGUCUUCUACCUAAUCCUGCAAUUGAUCCUCGCGCUGGCCAUUGAGAUGAUCAUGAAGCUAUUGCUGCAGUUGGGCUGAGAUUACUGGUGACUGUAGAUGAAGCUGGGAGGCCUUAUGUUGAAUACACCAUAAAGUUUGCUACCUGUAUUGGGCAGCUUGUACUAGCAAGCAUCCCUCUUAAGUACUCGAAUUGAAGGUUACCAAUCUAAGACAUUUAAGGAGGUGUUGAUGAGCUCAAAAUUACAGAGGAAUAACGGGUAUAAACUUGGAACCAAUGCGUUGUUGCGGUUUAGGAAAUAUUUAAACCAAUAAAUUCUUGGAAAGCAACACAACUGCAGGACAAGGUUUAGAAGCAGCCGAACCUCAGCAUGUACACUGUGCAGUCUCUAUGUCUCACUGUAAAAUGAUGCUAAUGCUUGUGGAAAUAUCUGGACUGGGGACUUCAGCUUCAGGUGGAUCAGAGUUUUGUUAUAAAUCUAUUCUAUUUAUAUUCACAAGCAGUGGCUUUCAAUUAUUUUUGGUUAAAUUUCAUAAUGAGCAGAACAAUUCUCUUGUAGUUGUGGUAAUUUGUGGAGAGUUUGCAGAUAUAGAAAAUGUAUGAAUUGCGGAUUUGAAUAGAUUUAAAAAGAAGAAUAGGCAGGCCUGUAAACUGAAAGUGCAGGUGCCAGUAAACUGGAAGCCCGGGUCCAUGAAAAUGAUCCGGACUAUCCAUUUUUUU